ACGUACGGUCCUCUCCCCGAACAGGGCCCUACAAUAAAUAAAAAGCUUCUUAAAAGAAGGGGAGGCAAGUCGUAACAUGGAAAGUGUACCGGAAGGUGCA
rnacentral:rRNA from 1 species